rnacentral:rRNA from 1 species
AGCGAACGCUGGCGGCAGGCUUAACACAUGCAAGUCGAGCGGGCACUUUCGGGUGUCAGCGGCGGACGGGUGAGUAACGCGUGGGAACGUGCCCUCUGGUUCGGAAUAACUCAGGGAAACUUGAGCUAAUACCGGAUACGCCCUUUUGGGGAAAGGCUUGCUGCCGGAGGAUCGGCCCGCGUCUGAUUAGCUAGUUGGUGAGGUAACGGCUCACCAAGGCGACGAUCAGUAGCUGGUCUGAGAGGAUGAUCAGCCACACUGGGACUGAGACACGGCCCAGACUCCUACGGGAUGCAGCAGUGGGGAAUAUUGGACAAUGGGCGCAAGCCUGAUCCAGCCAUGCCGCGUGAGUGAUGAAGGCCUUAGGGUUGUAAAGCUCUUUUAUCCGGGACGAUAAUGACGGUACCGGAGGAAUAAGCCCCGGCUAACUUCGUG